rnacentral:pre_miRNA from 1 species
AGUAGGAUAACUGGGUCAAAUGGUGGCUCCAUUCCAAGUUUUCUGAGGAAUAUCCAUACUGUUUUCCAAUGUGGUUGCACUGAUUUGCAGUCCCAUCAGCAAU